AGAUCAGAUGGUAGAGACCCUUGUAAGUGCCCUGCUGGUCUCUGAAGUAACCUGAAAAGACGACAAAAUAUACAACGCACAUCUCGGGAUCUAAGAAAAACGAAGCCUUCGUGAAGAUGCCAAUCAAGUGCAUUAAAUUUGCCCAUGUGAAUCCUGCGUCUUUGGCGGAACUGGCGCACGAGCAUGUGCUAUCGAGCACCAUUGCUACACCAUGGCGGCACGCGCGGUUGCCGUCUCAAACAGCUAGUCGGCGUUGGCGCGAUCCUCUACGACUGUGGUCAGAGCACUGGGCCUGGGACAACACGACUGGGCACGUGACAAGCGAGAGCCACUUGGCGAGACAGCGGCCACGGUCCCGGAGAAAACGCUUAAACUGUUACUGCGAAUAUCAUCGCAAACUACACACAAAAAAAGAAGUAAUUCAAAAACAAUUACUUGCGGGUUAAGAGCAUGUUAUUGACCAGAUCUAAUGCUUUACUCAGGUGACAGCAUAUAGACUCAGGUUGUUCGUGCUUGUAGAUUUCGUCCAGGCAGAGGUCAAGAAGGAAAUAAGAUUAACUCCUGUUGACCAGCCAGAGAGAAACGUUUAGGGGUGUUGGAAUAAUCGAAACCUGCGAUUAACAAACAGAAUAUUGCCGUAUUCAAAUAGGCAUUUGAAUCAAAUAGUGGCUAUAUGUAAGUACGAAUAUGAUUUCGAAUAUUUUUCGAAUAUUUCAAAUCAGCAACUGUGGGCGGUCAAGCAUAAAAUUGGGCCUGAUGUGCGACAAGUUUAAUCCCAGCGGCCAUUGCAGACAUAAAACACGAGGUGCUACCUAUAUUGCAGGAAGGUAUAGUCGCCCAGAUUUUCUGGCUAAACGGCCGUCAUGUGAAAUCAGUCCUGAGUAUGUUACUAAACGUAUUAUUUGCCCAUAAUUUGUACAUUUAGUGAACAGUGGUCCAUAAGGUGCAUUGUAACGGUAGAAAUUUGCUACCGUUUUCAAUAUAGUAAGAUGUGAACAUCGUCUUAUAAUAAUGGUGAAAGCGGCUGCUCAUAAUUUGAAAAUUAAUUGAAGACUAUACUAUAUUCGACUGUCUUCUGCAACUAUUUCAUUCGUAUUCGGUUCAGUCUCGAAAAUCGUUGUUUAUACACCCCUAGUUAAAAGCAUGCUGUUCUGCAAGUAGUAACGUUUGACCCACAGAUAGCACGAUUUUGUGCAAAUUGUUUGAGAAUUGUUUGGAAGCCGGGCAUGUCGGAUAGAUAUUGAACUGCAUUUUUUAUAUUUGUUUUCAUUCUUUAUUGUAGAAGAACUUGAAUAAACGUUGCCUUCGUCCAA